rnacentral:lncRNA from 1 species
UAGGUUUCAAGUUUCCAGAUAUAGGGAGAACCAAGUUUCAACUUCCUCCUAAUUUCAAACCCAAAAUGUUCUUAUUUUGUUGGGAGAACUUUUCUAAGGGUACAGAAGUUAUUGUUAUCUAAUGCCAUAGCCCCUUUAUAUAAAUAUACCAAUUUGAUAGUUUUAUGAAUUUAUUUUGAGGAGAGAAGAUCUUCGAAGGCAAGAUUAAGACUGAAUCUAUUCUCAGCAUUUCCAAGGUCUACAAUGCAAUUGGUUGUAAAAAGUGGAAACCAAUUCUGAUUUGCAUAAGCCAAAGAGACAUUGAAAAACACAUCAAAGCUCUUUGGGAGUUUGGAGCACAGCUUUCGAUGCAGGCACAUCUAACUGGGUAUCCCACUUCUGCCAGUGAUCAAAUAUGCGACCUUGGUCAGAGACUUAACUUUCACUGUGUCUUAGCAUCCUCGUCUAUGAAGAUGAAAGCAUGCAUCUUA